rfam:Capsicum annuum cultivar Zunla-1 chromosome 6, whole genome shotgun sequence
UAAUGAUGGUGAGGGAAUUUUCUAAACAUACCCUUAGAUCUUUUCCAAGCUUAGUAAUGAUUUUCUCCUUGUUUUUGCCUAAAACUUUGAAUCUUGCUUCUCAAAUG